AUGGCCGGCUCGGCAGCCCAAGCUCCCACACAGACCGGCCGAACGAGGCCUCCGAUUCCCACCGCGCUCGUGCCUGCGGCCGUGCUGCUGGCCGUCGUCGUGGCCGUCCUAUCCCUGCUGCCCUCCGUGGCCCAGGCGGUGUGGGAGCUGCCCCACCUCUUCCUCCUCGGCCUCGUCAUCUCCUACGGCGUCUUCGCCCAGCACAAGAACGGCGCCGCCGCGGCCGACGGCGAUGCCGCCACCAAGGACGGCGCCCGGGCGUGGAACUCCCGGUACCACCCCGACGACCCGCUCGUUGUGGUCGCGCCCGACCACGCGGCGGGCGAUGACGGGGACGACGGCGCGGGCGGGAGGCCGUUCUCCUUGCCGGUGCGGAGGCUGAAGACGGUCGUGGAAGAGUCGACCGAAGCCGGCGGCGCCAGCGGAGAGAGCGUCGGCGAAGAGACGGAUAGCUCCGAGUCCACGGCGGGAUUCUGGGCCGGCGCGCCCGCCGCUCCUUCGCCGCCCUCUGUCCUUGACGCCUUUGACUCGCGGAAGUUGAAUGCCGCGACGCCGCCGUCAACCGUGUCCAAGGGGUUCCCCGAUUACGAUUCCGCGUCGCCUCGUGACCAGUCGUCGUGUAACGAGGAGGAGGAAGAGGUGGAGGAGGAGGAAGAGGUGGAGGAGGAGGAGGGCACCGAUUGGGAAGAGGAUGCGGAUGGGUCGGAUGAGAUGACCGCCGCGUCGUCGGAAAGGUCGUUCCCUGGUGACUUCGUUGCCUGCCGCAACCGUCGCUACGACGGCAGCGGGGAUGGCGAGUCUAUGGACGAAGAACUUGUCGAGCUGGCCACCAGGCCGGGACCGGAGGGGGCGGACGAGGUGGACAGGAAGGCCGACGAGUUCAUCGCCAAAUUCAGGGAGCAGAUCAGGCGACAGAGGUUGUAG
rnacentral:rRNA from 1 species